UUUUAUUGGGAACCAUGGGCGCAAGCCUGAUCCAGCAAUGCCGUGUGUGUGAUGAAGGCCCUAGGGUUGUAAAGCACUGUCAGUAGGGACGAAUUGCUUNGGGUAACGCCGAAAAGUGACGGUUCCUACNGAGGAAGGACCGGCUAACUCCGUGCCNGCANCCGCGGUAAUACGGANGGUCCAAGCGUUGUUCNGAAUCACUGGGCGUAAAGCGCGUGUAGGCNGUUUCGUCANUCAGAUGUGAAAUCCCGGGGCUCAACCCCGGACGUGCAUCCGAUACUGCGAAACUAGAAUCCCGGAGGGGGUGGCGGAAUUCCUGGUGUAGAGGUGAAAUUCGUAGAUAUCAGGAGGAACACCCGUGGCGAAUGCGGCCACCUGGACGGNCAUUGACGCUNAGACNCGAAAGCNUGNGUAGCAAACAGGAUUAGAUACCCUGGUAGUCCACGCCGUAAACGAUGAGUGCUAGGUGUUGCGGGUAUUGACCCCUGCAGUGCCGAAGUUAACACAUUAAGCACUCCGCCUGGGGAGUACGGUCGCAAGAUUAAAACUCAAA
rnacentral:rRNA from 1 species